CAAUAGCGUAUAUUAAAGUUGUUGCGGUUAAAAAGCUCGUAGUUGGAUUUCUGCCGAGGACGACCGGUCCGCCCUCCGGGUGAGUAUCUGGUUUGGCCUGGGCAUCUUCUUGGAGAACGUAGCUGCACUUGACUGUGUGGUGCGGUGUCCAGGACUUUUACUUUGAGGAAAUUAGAGUGUUUCAAGCAGGCACACGCCUUGAAUACAUUAGCAUGGAAUAAUAAGAUAGGACCUCGGUUCUAUUUUGUUGGUUUCUAGAGCUGAGGUAAUGAUUAAUAGGGAUAGUUGGGGGCAUUCGUAUUUAACUGUCAGAGGUGAAAUUCUUGGAUUUACGAAAGACGAACUACUGCGAAAGCAUUUGCCAAGAAUGUUUUCAUUAA
rnacentral:rRNA from 1 species